GAUGAACGCUGGCGGCGUGCCUAAUACAUGCAAGUCGAGCGAACGGACGAGAAGCUUGCUCCUCUGACGUUAGCGGCGGACGGGUGAGUAACACGUGGAUAACCUACCUAUAAGACUGGGAUAACUUCGGGAAACCGUAGCUAAUACCGGAUAAUAUUUUGAACCGCAUGGUUCAAAAGUGAAAGACGGUCUUGCUGUCACUUAUAGAUGGAUCCGCGCUGCAUUAGCUAGUUGGUAAGGUAACGGCUUACCAAGGCAACGAUGCGUAGCCGACCUGAGAGGGUGAUCGGCCACACUGGAACUGAGACACGGUCCAGACUCCUACGGGAGGCAGCAGUAGGGAAUCUUCCGCAAUGGGCGAAAGCCUGACGGAGCAACGCCGCGUGAGUGAUGAAGGUCUUCGGAUCGUAAAACUCUGUUAUUAGGGAAGAACAUAUGUGUAAGUAACUGUGCACAUCUUGACGGUACCUAAUCAGAAAGCCACGGCUAACUACGUG
rnacentral:rRNA from 1 species